rnacentral:rRNA from 1 species
GACGAACGCUGGCGGCGUGCUUAACACAUGCAAGUCGAACGGAAAGGCCCUGCUUUUGUGGGGUGCUCGAGUGGCGAACGGGUGAGUAAAACGUGAGUAACCUCCACUUGACUUUGUGAGAACUUCAGGAAACAGGGGCGAAUACCGGGUAUGAGCUCCUGCUGCAUGUGGGGGAAUGGUAAGUGUCGGCGGUUGUGGCUGGACUCGCUGCUUAUCCGCUGCUUUGGGGGGUAGGGGCUUACCACGGCUUUGACGGGUAGCCGGCCUGAGAGGGUGACCGGCCACCUUGCGCCUACGGUACGGCCCAGUCGCCUACGGGCGGCAGCAGUGGGGAACCUUGCGCAACGGGGGGACGCGUGAUGCAGCAACGCCGCGUGCGGGAUGCCGGCUUUCGGGUUGUAAACCGAUUUCUACUGUGACGAAGCCUGAGUGACGGUAAUGGGUAAAGAAGCCCCGGCUAACUACGUG